CGACUUCUCUGGAAAGUUAACUAGGGCGUCAAGACGUGACGCCAGGCGGUAGUAGAUCAGACGGUGAAAUACCUCUGGGCUUCAUCCUUGUGAAGCUGCCUCUCGUGACUGGCAUAGCUGAAGUGCUGGCUAGCACGGGGGAUGGAAUACCUGCCGUGUAGCAGUGAAAUGCGUAGAUAUGCGGAGGAGCACCCGAUGGGCGAAGGCAAUCUCUCUGGGCCUGCACUGACGCUCAUGCACGAAAGCGUGGGGAGCAAACAGGAUUAGAUACCCUGGUAGUGCACGCCCCUAAACGAUGUCAACUGGUUGUUGGGUCUUCACUGACUCAGUAACGAAGCUAACGCGUGAAGUUGACCGCCUGGGGGAGUACGGCCGCAAGGUUAAAACUCAAAAGGAAUUGACGGGGACCCGCACAAGCGGUGGAUGAUGUGGUUUAAUUCGAUGCAACGCGAAAAACCUUACCCCCCCCUUGACAUGUACGGAAUCCUUUAGAGAUAGAGGAGUGCUCGAAAGAGAGCCGUAACACAGGUGCUGCAUGACUGUCGUCAGCUCGUGUCGUGAGAUGUUGGGUUAAGUCCCGCAACGAGCGCAACCCUUGCCAUUAGUUGCUACGAAAGGGCACUCUAAUGGGACUGCCGGUGACAAACCGGAGGAAGGUGGGGAUGACGUCAAGUCCUCAUGGCCCUUAUAGGUGGGGGUACACACGUCAUACAAUGGCUGGUACAAAGGGUUGCCAACCCGCGAGGGGGAGCCAAUCCCACAAAGCCAGUCGUAGUCCGGAUCGCAGUCUGCAACUCGACUGCGUGAAGUCGGAAUCGCUAGUAAUCGUGGAUCAGAAUGUCACGGUGAAUACGUUCCCGGGUCUUGUACACACCGCCCGUCACACCAUGGGAGCGGGUUCUGCCAGAAGUAGGUAGCCUAACCGCAAGGAGGGCGCUUACCUCGGCAGGGUUCGUGACUGGGGUGAAGUCGUAACAAGGUAACCUAGGGC
rnacentral:rRNA from 1 species